GGAGGUGGAGACGGCAUCAUAAAAUUGUCAGAUAUUUGUAUCUAUAAUCGCAAAAGUUGGCGAUUUUGUUUUGCUUUAACGGGGCCCGUCUCCUGGUUUACGUGUGCGUCAUCGGCAGGAUGAGGCCGGAUUUUUGUAUUUGCUGGUUUGCCUGUCCGAUUAUCAGGAAAUCAUUGAAGAAACGGUACUGAGGAAAUUUAUACAAUUUGGAGACGGAUUUUAAUUCUUUUUAAUAUGAUGUCAGCUCCGGGAUUGUGAUCCUUUUUAGUGCAGUGGCACCAGGAAGUGGAGACGGCGUUGUAAGAUUGUCAAUUAUUUGUGUUUAUAAUCACGAAAGAUGGCGAUUUUGUUUUUCUUUGCAGGGCUCGUCUUCUCUUGUUGGUUGCGUUGGAUCGCCAGUUGGCUGUGUUUAUUGAGGUUUUAGCGUCUCUUAUGUAGGCGCUCGUCGAUCUGAGAGAAUUUAAGAGUAGUGGAAAGGAUAGAUUCUGCAGCUCCGCGUUAAGUGCCCUGAACUAAGCGUGGGCAGCUUAUAUGGCCCGUCUAUUGCAGCGCAGCACUGCAAGUAGAUUGCAUCGGUGAUAAGGGAUACUAAUCGGGACCGUGUGGCAAGAAUGUUUUUUACA